CUAACUGCAAUUUUAUUGAGUCCUCGUGGCCUAAAGGAUAAGACGUCCGGUACAUUCGUAUCUAACGAUGCACAGGUGUUACAAUCCCGCCGGCAGGUACAAAUUUUUCUAAUGAAAUACGUACUCAAGAAAUGUUCACGAUUGACUUCCACGGUGAAGGAAUAACAUCGUGUAAUAAAAAUCAAACCCGCAAAAUUAUAAUUUGCGUAAUUACUGGUGGCAGGACCUCUUGUGAGUCCGCACGGUUAGGUACCACCACCCCGCCUAUUUCUGCCGUUAAGCAGUAAUGCGUUUUGGAUUGAAGGGCGGGGUAGCCGUUGUAACUAUACUGAGACCUUAGAACUUAUAUCUCAAGGUGGGUGGCGCAUUUACGUUGUAGAUGUCUAUGGGCUCCAGUGACCAGUUAACAUCAGGUGGACUGUGAGUUCGUUCACCCAUCUAAGCAAUAAAAAAAAUUACAUCUGCACUCUCACCUUAUUAUAAAGUUAAAAAUUCAUUAUUCCCACCAUUCUGUUUAUGGUCCACGUGAAACGGAAUACAGUUUGUCUGAACAAACAUAUAAGUACUCUGAAUAAAAUUAUAUGAGAGAAAAUUAUAAGAUUAAGAUCUCUCUGAGUCGUGUUAUGAUGUCAUCAAAAAAAAGUAAACCAAACCUUUUGAAAAUUCUCUUCUUACACAGGAUUUUCGAACUACGCACAUGAUCAUAUUGUUUUGUUUAUUGCUGAAAUUAGACAGAAGAGAAGCACAAAAAAAAAUUCAGAAAUAAUUAAAAUGACUUCAAUUAAUUAAUCUCUUCAUUUCAUAAAUUCUGACGUUUCAAAUAGAUACUUUACAGUUUUGUCUGAUCACGGACGAUCAAGGCGAUGAUAACCUACGACAUUUGAAUAUUGUGCCAACUACCGUCAAUUUUUUUAUAAAAAGUUUUAUUGAUAUAAUUUAUGUUUCUGUGCACAGAAAAAGAACCAAGAGCAAGACUUCGAUUAUAAGAACUAUCUUUUUUUAUUGCGCUUGUAGGCAGACGAGCAUACGGCCUACUUGAGUGAUGAGAGGUUAGCGUCGCCCAUUGACUUCAACAAUGCCAGGGGCAGAGCCAAGCCGCUGCCUUGCCACACAAGCCUCGUUUGAAGAAGGAUAUUUCAUAGUGGUUUCAAAUCCGGGUGGUGCGUGGCAAAAAAGAUCUCUGGAAACGCACUGUGGAUGAACGCAGUGGCUCCAUGUAGUUGUGGUCUGGUAGUUUGUUUGACGUAAGGUUUAAUUUGCAUUUCUCCAUGCUGUAAAGUAUUCAAAAUGUCGGUAGUAGUAAUAAGCCUAUUACAUAUAUGUUAAGCAGGUAACGGGCGGUGGAGUGUUUAUCUUCAGGUCAAUGUCGGAAUUGUACUUUUUUAUUGCGAUUCCAGGUGGUCGACAGGGGAACAGCCAGGCCGCUGUCUACUGCUGAGAAGCAAAAGCUUAUAAAAGUAAAGCUUAUUGUGUGGCAAAAAUAUCUUUGGAACCGCACUGCGGAUAUACUCUGCUCCGGUGGCGGGAUAUGCGAUGGUAUUUCACCAAUAUUGGCGGAGUCGUCAAGACAAUGAAAUAAAGCGGCGUGACACGAGAACCAUCUCAUCGUGGCCGCCGGUAACUACAUAGCUGAUCCUGCAAACCAAAUUGUAAACAGUCGACAUCGCCCAAAACACGUCAUUACGGAUCCUGCCGAUCCACUAACGGUGCUCUUAGGUACCCCAAGCACCGGUCAUCGUUCUCGUCGAACCCGUCGCUUGCGACGAAGGGCUCGGCGAGUAAAUUAACCCACAGAUACAGCCCACUGAGUUUAUCGCCGGAACUUCUCAGUGGGUCGCGUUUCCGAUCCGGUGGUAGAUUCUGCGAAGCACGACUCUUGCUAGGGUUCGUGUUAGCUCACCUACUAGCUCGGCUACGCUGCCACGGUCUCUCUAGACCAUCAGCUUAGGUAGGAAAAAAAGACAAUGCUUUUUUUUGACAAAGAAAGGUGGUUGGUUAGGACUAUGGUUAAAAACCACAACACUCGUGCAUGCAAUUCCAGUACCCGCGAGCUACUAAUCAUUUUAAACUUGUUUAAGUGAGUUUUCUUGAAAUUGUCGUUAGCGCAAUUUAGGUUCUUGUCAGAUUUCUUGUCUUUGCUGGCUUAAACUCCUAUACGUUAUUUCCGUAACUACGUUCUCUUCAGAAAGAUCAGUAGUAACUGCUUAAAUGAUCUUUGCUAUGACGUAAUAUGGAGCUUUAAUCUGAAUAGAAGAAUGGUGAUUUUUCGAAUGCUAAUAGCAGUUUGACCUAAUGUUGCAAGCUGAGGAGAGGGAUGAGACUCUAGCGUUUACACCACAUUAAUGAUAUGUAAGUUCCCUACAAGUUCAUCUAUGUUAAUGAAGCUUUUAAAACUGUGUUUUCUAGUCGUAAAUAUAAUAAGUGUGCUGACUAAACAAAAAAGUUUGGAUAAAUUUAAACUUAUAUAUUAUAUAACUAAAUUCUUAAGUGUUAAUUAAGAUACAAAUAAAAAGUCAUAACAAAC